UGGGGAAUAUUGGACAAUGGGCGCAAGCCUGAUCCAGCCAUGCCGCGUGAGUGAUGAAGGCCUUAGGGUUGUAAAGCUCUUUUGUCCGGGACGAUAAUGACGGUACCGGAAGAAUAAGCCCCGGCUAACUUCGUGCCAGCAGCCGCGGUAAUACGAAGGGGGCUAGCGUUGCUCGGAAUCACUGGGCGUAAAGGGCGCGUAGGCGGCCAUUCAAGUCGGGGGUGAAAGCCUGUGGCUCAACCACAGAAUUGCCUUCGAUACUGUUUGGCUUGAGUAUGGUAGAGGUCGGUGGAACUGCGAGUGUAGAGGUGAAAUUCGUAGAUAUUCGCAAGAACACCAGUGGCGAAGGCGGCCGACUGGACCAUUACUGACGCUGAGGCGCGAAAGCGUGGGGAGCAAACAGG
rnacentral:rRNA from 2 species